GCGGUGCGGGGCGGCGUCCGUCGGAGCGGCGGAGGGGGAAAUGGCGGCCGCGGGCGUUGGGCGGGAGCGGGACCCGCAGCAGGGGGACCAGAGCAGCUGGCCUUCGGCCGGACCCGGAGCGGGUCUGCCCUCUGCCCCGGGGCACGGGUGGCCUCACGGCGUCCCCGUGGAGCUCCCCCCACUCUCGUGGUUUAAGGGCACGUUGUUGGGUUACUUUUCACACCUCCCCAGAAUUGCCGAGAGCUGCCGCUCAGUGAGCGGAGAUUUGCAGCGUGUUCCCGGGAUGCUCGGCACCACGGAGAUCCAAAUCCUGAGGCGUACAGCGCUCUUCUGUGCUGCUGAACCUCGUGCGUUCCUGGCGGUUGUGCUAAAAGCUGCUGUCCCACGGUCACAGCGUGCCUGCUUGCUGCGAAACGUGCGGCGCGACCUCCCUGCAGCUCUGCUGUGCUACCAGCAGAAAAACGCUUCUGAUCGCCAGCACCUGCAGCCCUGUACGUGUACCAGUCGCUUCUUUGUGAAGGAUGGAUGAUUUAAUGUGCAGCGUCAAUGCAAUAGAAUGCAAAGAAAUCAAGAACUGGCGUGUUUCUUGGGUAUUAUUAGAGCCUCUCCUAAUCGUCUCCCCUUCUUACUUCCUGAUCUUCAAUUCCCAAAAUUCCUGGGCUUUUGGGAAAUACUUUAAUUUUUCACUCUUUAUCCUGACUUUUUUCAAGGGCUCCGUAACAAAACUGAAAGUGUUCUUGGCCAGAGUUUGUGAACUUACGGGUAGCGGCUGGGGGCAGAAAAAUAAAUAAAUGCUCUGAACUCGGGCUUGUUCCCGGAUCCACUUGACACUACGCCCUUGUGAGGAAUACCAGCCCUGCAAAAGGGAACAGAAGAGCUCACAACAGGGAGGGGGUUGCACGGCAGCAACAGGAACAGGAGAAACUGGUGCUCCUGACCAGAUGCCUGUAGCCACAGCCGUACUCUGGUUUUCCUCAUUUAGUUGCCUUUAGUCCCCUGGAGUUCUGCUCUGUACAAGACUGCUGCUGACUUCCUUGGGCAUCAUUCAAACAGGUCUCCAGCAAGGACCUUCUCAUCCAACAAAGGGGGAGGGCCGUUUCCCAGACAGCAGGCAGAGCCACCGUGGGAACAGCUGGCCCUACAUCCCACUUCUCCUGCCUGCAGCACACUAGAAGAGGAAGGAGCCAAGGGCCUUUCUGGUUACCGUCUGCUGCUCUUCUGCUUUGUGCUUAGCACAUUAGCGACAGGUCACGAGCUUCCCUGGGGAGAUACCUGCUUUCUUGAAAAGAACACGCAUAAGCUUCUGUAAGGAGGCCCAGCAGCUGGGCUGAGGCACUGCACAACAAUGCAUGAGGCUGUGUGGAAGCAGUCUUUUAUUCUGAGAACUCUCACAGCCAAGUUUCAUCAUUUGUAUUCUGCAGAUAAUUCAAAAACCUUGUUGCUCUGGGAUUCAGCACUUAAAUUUGAUCAGCUCGUUGCAGGGGAUGCCCAGUGCCCAAAGAUUGCGUACAACUUGUGAUUUUAAGGAGUUCCACAGGAUAACGUUCUCCAUGCUGGUCAUCCAGGGAUAGCCAGGAGUAAGGCAAAAAAAGAACAAACAAGGCACAGACACUGCGUUUGAGGGGAAAGGGAGAAGGGGCCUAAAUGAAACUCUUAUGUACAAAACCUCUUCAUACUGGGAAUGCGUGUCAUUCUGUGACCAUAUGUGACUAUUGUAUACUUACUUGCCUUUGCUUCCUCCCUUCUGCUCUGAAGAGGAAGGUGUUUACUGUUCAGGUGUGCACAGGAGCAUCACGUGAGCCAAGCCUGCUUAGCGCAGGCAGCUGCUGAGCUGGUGCUGGACAGGGAUGCUGAGGUCGAAUCAGACACAUGGUACCUGACCUAUGGAACCUAUGGUUUGGGCACAGGUACCUCCAGCUGCUCAUGGUUAUGGUUUCUCAUUUUUGUGCUGUACCUGCCAGUUGUCCUGUACUGAGGGGUAAGUCUUCAUGGGCUUGUUUGCUCAGACCUUUUGUUUUUUUUGUCAGAAAGGAUGUCCCACUUCAUGGUCCUGGCAUAGUUCUUCUGCGUGGCCCAAAUAUAAGUGCAACAAAACUGGCCUUAGAGCAAGCAUGACAGGCUUUGGAGGGAAGUGCAGUGAAGUCCUGUGAAAGGGAACAGCAGCAUGAUGGCAGCAGGAAGACAAGUGCAGAGAUUAGCCUCUUUCCAGCUCACCCUCACAGAAAGUCUUUUCUCAAGAGAGAAUCACUGGCCUCUCAUUAGUUAGCUCCAGCUUAACAGCUUCACUUAAAAUCCCUUCCCUUUGCUUUGAUGCUCUCUGUAAUUGCAGGUCUGCAAUCUUCUAGAACAAAGCAUGAAAACAGCAGUGCUCCCUUACCUGCAGCUGCGCUGGAGCAGUGGUCCCCUCAGGCUGCUUUCUGGGGAACCCCUUUCUGCCCAGAGCUGGGGAUGACUUUCCUGGCAGGCUCCAGCAAGUCAGAAAACUAUAGAGAGCAACGGAUGGUAGAAAUGUGAUAUGCUGCUAAAUCCCACUGCUGCUUUCUGGCCUUUCCCAGGAAUCCCAUGCUUGGAAGUGUACAUUUAUGUCCGUGUCACUGGGACACGAGGCCACCACAUUCUGCUCCCCUUAGCUGUGGGAUGGAGUGCUCUGGCUUUGGGAACCAAAUGAACAGCAGUUGGAAAGAGUCCAAAGAGAAGUAACAAGGAGGCUCAGAGGUUUAGAAAGCCUGCCUGACCUUUGAGGGGAGACUGGGAGAACUGGUCUUGUUUAGUCUAGAGAAGGAAAAGCUGAAGUGAAAUGCAGUAGCAGACCUCAAAUAUAUAAAAGUUCACUGCAGAGCACAAGGCAAUAAACUGUUUCCUAUACUGCUGAAGGACCUACCAAUGGCCAGCACAGCUAACCACUCAAGUACACCAGAAAAUAAAGCUGCUAAAGACUUUAAGGAAUAGGUAGAGAGCUAUAAGAAAAGGCUGAAUUUCUUGAACAGCAGAUCCUGCCAUGAGUCUGGAGGAUGGGAACUGUGUCACCUUCCAGGGACCCUUGCAGCUCUGUUUCAUAGCACUGCAUCACAAUCUGCUUCAGAGGGUAACAUAGAACUGCGAUGCAACAUGACAUGGUUGUAAAAAUGGGAGCAAUAACCCCAUGCAGCUACCCCACAUCAAACCACACAGUGCAAAGUCAUCUCCUUCAUCAACUCUCCAUUCAGGAAGCAGCAGCAAACUUCACACCCUCACGUUUGCAGCAGAUCCACUGCAGAAAGAUGAUACUUGUGGAGCACUACAUCCAACACUGUAAAAUGGAGUUUGGAGGUGACACAUGGCAAGUGAGAAAAUGCCACUGAGCAGCACCAACAGCACAGGACAUGGCCAGCAGCAAACAAGAUCAGCUGCUCUCCUCA